UUGAAUUCAAUUUAAUAAAUAACCAAUUAACUCUUUUUGUUUUUGUUAUUGUAUGUUUUUAGUAUUUUCUCAAUCUUGCUAUUCAAUAUUCAAUGUCAUAUUGACAAUAUUGUAGUGAACAAAUAUAAUUUUCUCAUGGAGAAAUGGGCCCAUUUAUCUCCGUUCCAUAGGUUUUGGUUGUCUUUUUUUUAUGUUCAAAAUCGAUUAGAAAUUUUUUUGAUUCGAGUUCUUGCUAAUUUCAUUUUUUGAUUCCGUUUUGAAAUUCCUUUUUUUUUUUUUUAUUUUUUUUUAUUCCGAUUCUAUCUACCCAUUCGAAUUAUUUGGGUUGCUAACUCAACGGUAGAGUACUCGGCUUUUAAGUACGGCUAGCAUCUUUUACACAUUUCUAUGAAGCAAAGAAUUCGUCCAAAUCUUCGGGAGAGUUUGUAAGACUGCGACUGAUCCUGAAAGGAAUGAAUGGAAAAAACAGCAUGUCGUAUCAAUGGAUAAUUUUGAGAAUAUUUUAUUCUUGUUCAAUCGCUAUAAAACCAAGUUUGAAUUCUUGGCGCGGAACAAAAUAAAUAUAAUUAUUA
rnacentral:lncRNA from 1 species